AAGUGACUCUUCUGCAGAUGGACGUGAAACUACCAAUGGACACAUUUGAGACUGUGAUGGACCUUGCAAGUGAAGGGUGCAAAGCGAUCGCAACCUACAUCCGAGAGGUGCUAUUGGAGAACACGAAGCAGCUGGAGUGUCAGCGAGGCUAGUUAAACCUAGCAGGUGGAGGCCAUUGAACGAGAGCGUGUAGCACUUGAAGGCGGAUCUUUUAUGUAACAUAGAUUGAUGGCUUAUCUGCCUAGCACAGACACUGAACCUGUCAAAGAUAGCUGGACCAUCAUUUCCCCUCCUAACGUAAAUGUUGUGGCGCACAGGAGAUGACAUCUUGAUUAUGUGAAACUUUGAUGUUGAACUUGGUAUCCAUGUUGUACUUUUGAAAAUGUUUUAACAUGGUGCAAAUUUAACUUAAA